GGGGGUGUAGCUCAGGGGUUAGAGCAGCGGGCUCAUAACCUGUUGGUCGAUGGUUCGAUCCCAUCCACCCCCACCA
rnacentral:tRNA from 3 species